rnacentral:lncRNA from 8 species
CCAGAAAGAGAGGCAGAAGGUGACACCUGGAGAAAUACAAGAGAGGUGGAACAAGGCUACCCAUAGCUGUCUGCCUGGUGGAAUUACGCACGAUGGACCAGGAAGAAGACUUUCUGGACUUCAAGUCCUUGAGGGCAAAGUUCCAGGAUGAGGAAGUGUUGCUGCUGAAGCAGCCCAGGACCAAACCUGCUCUCCCUGAGAAAGCUAAAGUCCUGCCUCCUCCUCACAGCCCUACAAACUGCCUUCCUUCCCUCAGCUCCACAUCACACACACCCUCCAACUCACACUCCCUACCGCGCGGUGCUCGACCCUCCCUCCUCUCCUCCCUCCAGGGGCCAGGUGGCAUCGCAUCCAGAGUCAUCGUCAAGGAGGAGGAGGAGAUGGUGAAGGGCAAAGACAAGGAUGAGGGGAAGGUGAAAUUACUAGGUAAAAAGAAGGCAGAGGCGAAGGCUGAUAAAGGGAAGGCGGAUGAAAUGAUGAAUGGAGGGAAAGAUAUUGUAGAAGUAGCGGUGAGGUCGGAUCUGCUGGACCAGAAACAGAAGAAAGAAGCAGACCUGGUCAUGAAGGCCAUGAAGAACAAGAAAGUGUCCCUGCUGUCCCCUGGGGGGUCUAAGAGGGGUAUUGUUGAGCUGGUAGACAUGUCACCACCGCCCAUAAACACAACAAAGAAGAAGGGUUUUCUGGGUAUCGGGAAGUCAGUGAAAACAGGGAAGAAGGGGAAAGUUGAGCUUCUUCCUUUCCCCAUACUGGACAUAGCCAGCCCAGACCUGGCUGACCCUGAACCUCUCAUGCCUCUAACCACCUUCGGAACCCCAGCCCCCCCUGGUGAUAUACCUAUACGUACUGUCAUUAUCCCACCUUCCCCAGCAGUACACAUUGUUCACUUACCCCCUGCAUCGAUACCUGCCCCAGUACGAGAUUCCCCCUUACCCCUGGAGCUGACUCAUAACCCAGUAUUUACCCUGUUACCCCCCACCCUGAAACCUGCACCAGCAGCUGAAGCCAUUACAGUUGUUACACCACCUAACCCCAUCCUAGUGAUCCCUGACCCUCCUAUCAUUGAUCACAUCCCUGAAACCCCAGCUGAAACCAUCCCAGCCCCCACCCUGCCAGUAUCAGUCCGCCCCAGCCCUACCCCUUCCCCUGUUCCUGCCCCACCCAGCCCAAUGCCAGCUCCCCCAGUCACCCAUAUACUCCCUGCUAUCCCCUCCCCACCUCCACCUGUUAUCGCCACUCCAUCCCCAUCCCCACCCCCUGACCCUACCCCCUCUCCUCCCCCUACACCUCCAGCUGCUGAACUUGAACCUGAGUCUGUUGUAGUGGAUAUUGCUGUUAUAGUCGAGACCUCUGCCUCUCCACUUCCCUCUCACACCCCCCCUCCCCCGGCUGGUGACCCCUCAAUCGCACCCCCAUCCCUCCAGCCUGAGAGGCCUGUGGGGGUCCAGGAACGGCCACUCUCAGCCCUGUUCGCUUUAGGACGAGCAGAAGAGAUGAGUCCACCAAAAAAAAGAGGAUCAGAGGUAAUCUUCAAUGCUCUGGAGAAAGCUAAGAGGAAGCUCGCCAGGUACACAAUAUACCUUCAGUACAUACACAUUAACACUAUCCCCCAGUCGCUUUGGAUGAAAGAGUCCAAUAAAUGACCAUAUUGUUAUUAUUAUGUUAUUGUUAACUCCAUUCCCCCCCCCCCCCAGCCCUCUUACGACCCCCACCCCCUCCAGACCUGUCACGCCCACCAUAGAGGACCUACCCCCACCCCCCCACAGCCCAAGCCCCACCCCGGUGAAAUCCCUACCUGAGCUCCCACCAAUCGACUACGAUGACCAGGCAGGGGCGGCGGCCCCUACACCCCUGAAACCGGCCUUAGUCAACGGUAUUGACAUUAGUAAGUGUCUCUCUCCCUCUCUUUCUCUGUACAUCUCUCUUCCUGAGACCCCUGUUCUCCCUCUUCCUCUCUCUCUCUCUCUUUCCAUCUUCUGUUCACCCUGCUUUUGUACAUUUUACAUUUACAUUUUAGUCAUUUAGCAGACGCUCUUAUCCAGAGUGACUUACAGUAGUGAAUGCAUACAUUUCAUAAAUUUUUUUCUCAGUUUCUUUGUACUCUGAAGUACACAGGAGUGCAGCUCAUCCCUUACACCCCAGGUAAGACAAUGGGUGUUGUUGCAA